rnacentral:SRP_RNA from 1 species
UCCGGGUGUGGUGGCGCGUGCCUGUAGUCCCAGCUACUUGGGAGGCUGAGGCAGGGGAAUCGCUUGAACCCGGGAGGCGGAGGUUGCAGUGAGCCGAGAUUGCCUCACUGCACCCUAGCCUGGGUGACAGAGCGAGACUCCGCCUCAA